GCGCCAGACUCCUACGGGAGGCAGCAGUGGGGAAUAUUGCACAAUGGGGGAAACCCUGAUGCAGCGACGCCGCGUGAGUGAAGAAGUAUUUCGGUAUGUAAAGCUCUAUCAGCAGGGAAGAAAAUGACGGUACCUGACUAAGAAGCCCCGGCUAACUACGUGCCAGCAGCCGCGGUAAUACGUAGGGGGCAAGCGUUAUCCGGAUUUACUGGGUGUAAAGGGAGCGUAGGCGGCCUGGCAAGCCUGAUGUGAAAUACCGGGGCCCAACCCCGGGGCUGCAUUGGGAACUGCCAGGCUGGAGUGCCGGAGAGGCAGGCGGAAUUCCUAGUGUAGCGGUGAAAUGCGUAGAUAUUAGGAGGAACACCAGUGGCGAAGGCGGCCUGCUGGACGGUGACUGACGCUGAGGCUCGAAAGCGUGGGGAGCGAACAGGAUUAGAUACCCCGGUA
rnacentral:rRNA from 1 species